UACGGAGGGUGCAAACGUUGCUCGGAAUCAUUGGGCGUAAAGCGCACGUAGGCGGUCUUUUAAGUCGGAUGUGAAAGCCCCAGGCUCAACCUGGGAAGUGCAUCGGAAACUGAAAGGCUAGAGUACGGAAGAGGGUCUCGGAAUUCCCGGUGUAGAGGUGAAAUUCGUAGAUAUCGGGAGGAACACCAGUGGCGAAGGCGGAGACCUGGGCCGAUACUGACGCUGAGGAGCGAAAGCGUGGGGAGCGAACAGG
rnacentral:rRNA from 1 species